UUUGGUCAGCGGGGCAAGAAGACCCUGUUGAGCUUGACUCUAGUCUGGCAACGUGCGACAGCUCGGAGGGUGUAGAAUAAGUGGGAGUCUUUGACGCCCGUGAAAUACCACUACCUCUGACGCUGUUUCACUUACUCGGUGGAAAACAAUCCCUCUGGCAGUUUCAGACUGCCGGAGUUUGCCUGACGUUAGCCGGAGACUUUGUCAGGUUGGGAGUUUGGCUGGGGCGGCACAUCUGUUAAACGAUAACACAGGUGUCCUAAGAUUAGCUCAGCGAGAACAGAAAUCUCGUGUAGAGCAGAAGGGUAAAUGCUAAUUUUAUG
rnacentral:rRNA from 1 species